CCCAGACUCCUACGGGAGGCAGCAGUGGGGAAUAUUGGACAAUGGGGGGAACCCUGAUCCAGCGACGCCGCGUGAGUGAAGAAGUAUUUCGGUAUGUAAAGCUCUAUCAGCAGGGAAGAAAGAAAUGACGGUACCUGACUAAGAAGCCCCGGCUAACUACGUGCCAGCAGCCGCGGUAAUACGUAGGGGGCAAGCGUUAUCCGGAUUUACUGGGUGUAAAGGGAGCGUAGACGGCGAUGCAAGUCUGAAGUGAAAGACGGGGGCCCAACCCCCGGACUGCUUUGGAAACUGUAUGGCUGGAGUGCAGGAGAGGUAAGUGGAAUUCCUAGUGUAGCGGUGAAAUGCGUAGAUAUUAGGAGGAACACCAGUGGCGAAGGCGGCUUACUGGACUGUAACUGACGUUGAGGCUCGAAAGCGUGGGGAGCAAACAGGAUUAGAUACCCGGGUACG
rnacentral:rRNA from 1 species